GAUGAACGCUGGCGGCGUGCCUAAUACAUGCAAGUCGAGCGAACGGACGAGAAGCUUGCUUCUCUGAUGUUAGCGGCGGACGGGUGAGUAACACGUGGAUAACCUACCUAUAAGACUGGGAUAACUUCGGGAAACCGGAGCUAAUACCGGAUGAUAUUUUGAACCGCAUGGUUCAAAAGUGAAAGACGGUCUUGCUGUCACUUAUAGAUGGAUCCGCGCUGCAUUAGCUAGUUGGUAAGGUAACGGCUUACCAAGGCAACGAUGCAUAGCCGACCUGAGAGGGUGAUCGGCCACACUGGAACUGAGACACGGUCCAGACUCCUACGGGAGGCAGCAGUAGGGAAUCUUCCGCAAAGGGCGAAAGCCUGACGGAGCAACGCCGCGUGAGUGAUGAAGGUCUUCGGAUCGUAAAACUCUGUUAUCAGGGAAGAACAUAUGUGUAAGUAACUGUGCACAUCUUGACGGUACCUAAUCAGAAAGCCACGGCUAACUACGUG
rnacentral:rRNA from 1 species